UGAUCACAGUCUGGCUACGCUAACUGGAGCAGUGAACGGUGAGGGUGCCAGGAAGAAGUGUAGACACCGGAGCAGAAGUAAACAGAGGAGCAUAGAGCCCUUCUAGCCCACGGCCAAGGACAAACUGCAGAAACAGGCUUUUCAGAGUUAAGAAUCGAGAAGGUGAAGGCAACUUGAGACCUGGUAAAUGUGAG